rnacentral:rRNA from 1 species
AUUGAACGCUGGCGGCAUGCUUUACACAUGCAAGUCGAACGGUAACAGGCCUUCGGGUGCUGACGAGUGGCGAACGGGUGAGUAAUGCAUCGGAACGUACCCAGAGGUGGGGGAUAACGCAGCGAAAGCUGUGCUAAUACCGCAUGUGAUCUGAGGAUGAAAGCGGGGGACCGAGCAGCAAUGUUUGGCCUCGCGCCUUUGGAGCGGCCGAUGUCGGAUUAGCUAGUUGGUGGGGUAAAGGCCUACCAAGGCGACGAUCCGUAGCUGGUAUGAGAGGACGACCAGCCACACUGGGACUGAGACACGGCCCAGACUCCUACGGGAGGCAGCAGUGGGGAAUUUUGGACAAUGGGCGCAAGCCUGAUCCAGCAAUGCCGCGUGCGGGAAGAAGGCCUUCGGGUUGUAAACCGCUUUUGGCAGGAACGAAACGGUGUCCGCUAAUACCGGGCGCUAAUGACGGUACCUGCAGAAUAAGCACCGGCUAACUACGUG